CCGCGGGAUUAGAGUUUGAUCCUGGCUCAGAUUGAACGCUGGCGGCAGGCUUAACACAUGCAAGUCGAGCGGGGAAGAGUAGCUUGCUACUUGACCUAGCGGCGGACGGGUGAGUAAUGCUUAGGAAUCUGCCUAUUAGUGGGGGACAACAUCUCGAAAGGGAUGCUAAUACCGCAUACGUCCUACGGGAGAAAGCAGGGGACCUUCGGGCCUUGCGCUAAUAGAUGAGCCUAAGUCGGAUUAGCUAGUUGGUGGGGUAAAGGCCUACCAAGGCGACGAUCUGUAGCGGGUCUGAGAGGAUGAUCCGCCACACUGGGACUGAGACACGGCCCAGACUCCUACGGGAGGCAGCAGUGGGGAAUAUUGGACAAUGGGGGGAACCCUGAUCCAGCCAUGCCGCGUGUGUGAAGAAGGCCUUUUGGUUGUAAAGCACUUUAAGCGAGGAGGAGGCUACCGAGAUUAAUACUCUUGGAUAGCGGACGUUACUCGCAGAAUAAGCACCGGCUAACUCUGUGCCAGCAGCCGCGGUAAUACAGAGGGUGCAAGCGUUAAUCGGAUUUACUGGGCGUAAAGCGCGCGUAGGUGGCCAAUUAAGUCAAAUGUGAAAUCCCCGAGCUUAACUUGGGAAUUGCAUUCGAUACUGGUUGGCUAGAGUAUGGGAGAGGAUGGUAGAAUUCCAGGUGUAGUGGUGAAAUGCGUAGAGAUCUGGAGGAAUACCGAUGGCGAAGGCAGCCAUCUGGCCUAAUACUGACACUGAGGUGCGAAAGCAUGGGGAGCAAACAGGAUUAGAUACCCUGGUAGUCCAUGCCGUAAACGAUGUCUACUAGCCGUUGGGGCCUUUGAGGCUUUAGUGGCGCAGCUAACGCG
rnacentral:rRNA from 1 species